GAUGAACGCUGGCGGCGUGCCUAAUACAUGCAAGUCGAGCGAAUGGAUUAAGAGCUUGCUCUUAUGAAGUUAGCGGCGGACGGGUGAGUAACACGUGGGUAACCUGCCCAUAGACUGGGAUAACUCCGGGAAACCGGGGCUAAUACCGGAUAACAUUUUGAACCGCAUGGUUCGAAAUUGAAAGGCGGCUUCGGCUGUCACUUAUGGAUGGACCCGCGUCGCAUUAGCUAGUUGGUGAGGUAACGGCUCACCAAGGCAACGAUGCGUAGCCGACCUGAGAGGGUGAUCGGCCACACUGGGACUGGGACACGGCCCAGACUCCUACGGGAGGCAGCGGUAGGGAAUCUUCCGCAAUGGACGAAAGUCUGACGGAGCAACGCCGCGUGAGUGAUGAAGGCUUUCGGGUCGUAAAACUCUGUUGUUAGGGAAGAACAAGUGCUAGUUGAAUAAGCUGGCACCUUGACGGUACCUAACCAGAAAGCCACGGCUAACUACGUGCCAGCCGCCGCCGUAA
rnacentral:rRNA from 1 species